rnacentral:lncRNA from 1 species
UAAUUUUUCAUUCAGAUAGUGCUUGUUCGGUUCCACAUUAAGGCCUUGCUUUGACUCGGAGUAAGUUCUUUAAGGGCAUAUUGUCUGAAAUAUGUCUGAAAGAAGCAUUGGAAUUGUAAAAUGCCCUAUGAAUUUGCCAAUCCUUAGGUGGAACCAGAUAGCCUUUGAUGCAUAUAAAGGACAGCGGAUCCGCUGCACUCCAGGUGCUGCUCAAGCCUCCUAAUCAGGUCUAAUUGAACUGCUGUGGACAGAGUGUGGUGUCUGCUCACUGCUGUGGACAGUGUGGCCACUGCUCACUGCUGUGGACAGAGUGUGGCGUCUGCUCAGGAGGAGAGGGUUUCACUGAGCUGGCUUUUAACAGUUCAAAGCAACAGGAGCAAAACACCCAAGUUGAGCAUGAAUCUAGCAUGGUGUCUGAUAAAUCCUUGUGUGUGCCCCAAAUGUGAAGGUUAUGGGCUAUUCAUUGUUUAGCCAGCUCUUGACAUUCACCUUGGGAGUAUGUUUGGUAAUCACUUGGAGACGCAGGAGAAUAGUCAGUAAUGUAGCAUUUCUGUUGUAAUUUCAAUUUAACUAUCUAGUAGUACUUGGCUCUUAGAAGAGGUUACUGCUAAAUUUCUUUCUACCUAAUGAAAUAGCCUGUCAGUUACCUACCUUGUCACUACAGAUGGUUCAGUACACAUACUCUGUGUUGGCAUAUGACUAUGUGAUACAAUACUAGUGCCUGGGUUUCUCUCUGUAAACGAAUCCCUUUGCCAAACACAGGUCAGACUUGCUCACUACUGACAGGAGUGGGACAGGAAAUGGAUGUUUUCCCAGCUUGGGAGCAUGUUUAGUGGAUUUAGGGCAGCAGUGUAGGAAGCAGGAGGUGGAGGCCAGUGUCACCUGACCAGACUGUAUGCCACUUCAGAGCAAUAAUGUUGGCAUGAUCUGAACCAGCCAGGAGGAGGUUGAGUGAUUAGAGGCUUGAGAUUCUUAGUUGAACUGAAGACUUCAUUUGGGCACCAGAAACGUUAACACCUUGAGCCACAAACUUCCCUUAAAGUAUGCUUUACUCCAGCGUGACACACAAACACAAAUUCUGUUUGGGGUUAUGUUUUAAGACGUGAACAGAAACAUGAUGAGGUUUGUUUAAUGGCAUACUGUACUGGAACGCUGAAGAACUGCAGCAGAUGUAAAUUCCAAGUCUUGUUAUUUUUUAAGAUUGCGAAAUUAUCAAAAUGCAUAUGAAUCAAGUUUUAAUACACUGUCUGGGUGGAUGAGGCUGUCCAUUGCACCAUUUCUUUCUUUGGGUUCUCAGGCAUGGUUCUGACAGUGUAAGAACUCUGUAACAUUUAACAUUGAAUAAACAGUAAACC